UACAGAGGUCUCAAGCGUUGUUCGGAUUCAUUGGGCGUAAAGGGUGUGUAGGUGGCGCGCUAAGUCGGGUGUGAAAUUUCGGAGCUUAACUCCGAAACUGCAUUCGAUACUGGCGUGCUUGAGGACUGGAGAGGAGACUGGAAUUUACGGUGUAGCAGUGAAAUGCGUAGAUAUCGUAAGGAAGACCAGUGGCGAAGGCGGGUCUCUGGACAGUUCCUGACACUGAGACACGAAGGCCCAGGGGAGCAAACGGG
rnacentral:rRNA from 1 species